CCAGAGCACGGAGCUAGCAUGCCAUUGACACUGAAGUUUUUCUUUGUGAAUGAAUCAGGCACUGACACCUGAUCUUUGGAGGUGUGGAGAGGUGAAGCACUUGGAGAUAUGCAAGCGAGACCUGAAGCUGCUUCUGCUGCUGUUGCUUUGCUUAUGUUAGGUUUCUCCUUUUCUGGAAGCAGUGACAAUUCCACGAGGACAAUUUUCAUCACAGUAAAGAGAAUGGCUGCUGAUCCAGGCCAGUAUGUGAAGGAUGCUGAAGGUCUAUCUAUGGAAUGA
rnacentral:lncRNA from 1 species